UACGUAGGGUGCGAGCGUUGUCCGGAAUUAUUGGGCGUAAAGAGCUCGUAGGCGGUCUGUCGCGUCGAUCGUGAAAACUUGGGGCUUAACCCUGAGCUUGCGGUCGAUACGGGCAUGACUGGAGUCCGGAAGAGGCGAGUGGAAUUCCUGGUGUAGCGGUGGAAUGCGCAGAUAUCAGGAGGAACACCAACGGCGAAGGCAGCUCGCUGGGACGGUACUGACACUGAGGCGCGAAAGCGUGGGGAGCGAACAGG
rnacentral:rRNA from 1 species